CAUAAGGUUCUAGAAGCUGGAUUUUACAAUUUUCCACUCAGAUCUACUUAAUCAGAUUAUCUCAAGGUAAGGUCUUUAGAAACUAAUAGAACAAGAAGUAACUGGAAAUCACUGACUGAAGCUGUCAGAAGUUGGUGCAGGAUAAAUUUCAAGUCACUGAUAAGAUGGAAUGUAGGUGAUAAUACUAAAGAAGACAGAAGACGGAAACUUGGAGAAAAGCCUAUAUUUUCAGAACUAAAAGAGGGCUUGGACAGAGGUGGAGGAAGAAGGAGUUGCAACUGCUCAGCUGUAUUGACAGCAGGACUGUAGGUUUCUGAAGAUCACAGAACUUAACUAAAACAACAUAUUUGUCAUAAGC
rnacentral:lncRNA from 1 species